CAAGUACUCCCUCCGUCCGAAAUUACUUGUCAUCAAAAUGGAUGUGUCUAGAACUAAAAUACAUCUAGAUACAUCCAUUUCAAUGACAAGUAUUUUCGGACGAAGGGAGUACAAG
rnacentral:pre_miRNA from 1 species